UUAUGAUAGCUCAGGAUAAAUGAAUUUAAAACAAUUUAUUUAAAGUGCCUGCUAUUAUUCCGUUAAUUUAUUAGAUGAAUUACUUGAAAAUUGAAUAACAAAUAAUUUAAAUUUAUUAAACAUCUGUUUAAUUUUUAAUUAGCAAGACGAGCGAAUAUUUUAAACUCCAAGAAAAGAAGUUUCUGGUAAUAAAUUUUUAUAAAUGCAAGAUAAUUAUUCGGUGGAAAAGCAUCAGGUAGAUUUUUUGGAGAGUAAGAUAUAUUGUCAGCACCAUAUGUUCCCUAAAAAAAUAUAUAUCAAAUUAAUAUAGCACAUAUUUAAUCAUGAACGUUGAAGAUGAUGAUCAGAAAAAGAGCAUAGUAUCAUGGAUGAUAAGGAGGACAGUCAUCAUCAGUGAUUCCUAUCAUUUCAAUCUGGUCUCCAAUUAGACGAUAAUUUGGAUCAAAUAUUUGACAGAAUUCAGCAUCAAAACUUAUUCCAGUUUUUAUGACAAACUCUCCCAUUGAUGAUGUUAGUAAUUUGUAUGAGAACUGGAAGAAUGGAUACAUUUAUGCAAGGUGAGAAAAUAAGCUUUCGGAGGAAUGGAUUUGAUACAAUGCAAGACGAACAAAUGCUUUAAAUACUCCAAAAUUUUCGAAUCCAUUAUAUAAUUUAAUAAUUGCAACAUAAUUGUUCGGUGGAAAUACGUCAGGUAAAUUUUCUGAAGACAAAGCUAUGUUCUCAGCAGUAUAGGUUCCCUGAUAAAAAAUAUUUUCAAUUAAAGUUAAUACAUAAUCAAUCUUAAACUUUAAACCUUCAUGAUUUGAUGAGUGAUAAAUUAAACAUUGCAGACAAUCAAUUGUUUUUAUUGAUUUAUUUGUAAAUAAGAUUUUCAUUACUCUAUCUAUUCCAUAAAAAAGAUUUUAUGCAUAAUUAUGCAUUAAAUUUGAUCAUGUUGAACGAUUGAUGACCAUGCACCAUCAAGUUCAUCAAUUCAGUAUCAUAAAUAAUUAUGGUUGGUCAUACAUACAUGGAAGCUUUGCUAGCAGCAGAAAGAAAGCAAUCAUACUAGCAGAUAGACAUCAUCAAGAAAGUGAUUCAAGAUGGAUGAAAAGUAUGUGAAUGAUUAAGAUAAAAAAAUAUAACUUACUGGACUAGGAGGACAGUUGUCACCAUUAAUUCCAAUUUGUUCAAUCUGAUCUCCAAUCAGACGAUAAUUUGGCUCGAAUACUUCACAUAAUCCUGUAUCAAUAUUCAUCCCAGUUGGCAUGAUAUACUCGCCCAUUGAUGAUCCUAGUAACUUAUAUAACAACUGAAAAAGUCAAUACAUUUAUGAAACUCUGCUAGCAGCAGAAAUGAAUCAAUCAGACUAGGAGAUAGACAUCAUCAAGAAAGUGAUUCAAAAUGGAUGAAAAGUAUGUGAAUGAUCAAGAUAAAAAAAUAUAUCUUACUGGACCAGGAGGACAGUUGUCACCAUUAAUUCCAAUUUGUUCAAUCUGAUCUCCAACUACACGAUAAUGUGGCUCGAAUAUUUCACAUAUGUUUAUAUCAAGAGUUACUCCAGUUUUUAAGAUAAACUCUCCCAGUGUUGAUGCUAGUAAAUUGUAUGAUAACUGGAAGAAUAAAUACAUUCAUGAAGACGUUUGAUUAUUGUGAAAUUGGUGAAUAUUCCAGAAUUAUCUUCAUUGACAUAGCUUUCGAAAUAACUAAAAUAUUCAUGGUUGAUUUCGGUAGCCUCAACAUCAUAAAAUACAAUGUCAUAUGAAGACUAGAAAAAAAAUAUGAGGAUUAUCACUCGUUUAUUUUUAGACGGUACAUGAUGAAGUAAAUUUUAAACAAAUAUUAAAAAUACCUCUGCAGUAUUCAAUGGUAUUAAAUACGACAACAAGAUUAGACAAAUUAUAUUCCACAUGGUGAAGGAUUUCAAUCAUCUGGGUAGCAUGGAAAUAGAAAAGCGAUAUUUAAACAAAAUUUCCGGUAUUAUUCUAUCAUAGAAAUUUCGAUAUCAGCAACAAAUCAUUUCUCAUGACUGUGUUAAUAAUUUCUCAUAAUUAUAUAUGUUUUGUCAUAUCAUAUAAAAAUAUUU